AGAAGACCAAUACCUAGGUCAUGUGGAAUGGAAGAUGCUAUGGAAGCUGAUUGGAACUGUGAGGAACUGAAAUCAUCUCCACCUGGAGCAAUUAAACAUGGACCUUGGAAGCCUUGCCUUUGAGAGGCCCAGGGCAACCUGUCCUACCUACCAGCUGCCCCAUCAGGGGGUAAUCCACUGAUCACCUCCCUCUGUUGGCACAGCAAUCCUGACACCUACAUCUGUGGGGCAACCUUCCCUAUCACCUGCACCUUUUGGAAUUUUGACUCCACCGUGGAGCCUAAGUGAAGCAUGGAGUCUGGGAAAACAAAGCAGAAGCCACUUAUUUGAAGAAAGAGAAAAUCCCACCCAUCCUUUCACCGUGAACCUGGAGUCCCACGGCUAGCUGCUUAGCUGGCUGCACUGUCGCGUUAAAUAGUUUCCCUGGAAGAGAAAUUGUCCUCUUAGAUUUUCAUUCGUUUUGUUGUUUCCUGUGGAUUUUGGGGAGAGGAGGAGCAUCUCCCCUGCACAGCUGCAAACUCAGGUUAGCUGGGUUAUACUCCUGUGCCGGAGCUUGCAGCAGGUGAUCAGGCCUGUGUACAUGAGGCUGUGGAGAGGCAGGGUGGGUACUGGGGCCAGGGGACUUCCAGGAAAUAAAGCUCCUACCUGAAAUGAUAAACAGAGGAAUAUAGUUUAGCCAAUUAGAGAGAAAUUAUUUCUAAAAACUCAAUAAAAUGUAGUUUAACCUUUCUCUCAUUUUCUGGUUUAU
rnacentral:lncRNA from 1 species